rnacentral:rRNA from 1 species
CCUACGGGAGGCAGCAGUGGGGAAUAUUGCACAAUGGGCGCAAGCCUGAUGCAGCCAUGCCGCGUGUGUGAAGAAGGCCUUCGGGUUGUAAAGCACUUUCAGCGGGGAGGAAGGCGUUAAGGUUAAUAACCUUGGCGAUUGACGUUACCCGCAGAAGAAGCACCGGCUAACUCCGUGCCAGCAGCCGCGGUAAUACGGAGGGUGCAAGCGUUAAUCGGAAUUACUGGGCGUAAAGCGCACGCAGGCGGUCUGUCAAGUCGGAUGUGAAAUCCCCGGGCUCAACCUGGGAACUGCAUUCGAAACUGGCAGGCUAGAGUCUUGUAGAGGGGGUAGAAUUCCAGGUGUAGCGGUGAAAUGCGUAGAGAUCUGGAGGAAUACCGGUGGCGAAGGCGGCCCCCUGGACAAAGACUGACGCUCAGGUGCGAAAGCGUGGGGAGCAAACAGGAUUAGAUACCCUAGUAGUC